GCUAGAAAGACCAAUUCCCAGAAACAUUUUGUUAUGUGAAUAACUAUGCUAUUCAUAAGUUAAAAGGCCAGAGAUGUGUAUUAUGUAUGCUGAUAUUUAGUUGCCUUGAGGGAGCUGGAAAACAUUAAUGCAUCAAUGUGGUCAAACUGUAAGUACAGCUACAACUAUAUAUUUACUAACAUUUUGCCCAAAUGAACACUUGCCAUGAAGAGUUCUAUCAUUUAUAGUUCUAACAUUAGCAGAUCUUUAUAUAAGAACCCUCUUUAGAAUCUUGUAGUGAAUCUGGUUAUUUCUCUGGUUGCUAAGUUUUCUUCUUGUUGUUCAAAUAUUUAGAGGUUGCUAUUUUGUUCGGCUGUCUUAGCCAAGCUUAGACAUGCUUUAGUAUGUGUGAUUUUAAAAAAAUAAUUCCUUGCAUGUUCUUAACAUUUUCAGUGCUUCUUUUAGAAUGCUUUGCAUGUGUUGGUGAUGAGAUACCCAGAUCUGCACGCAGCAUUUCAAGGCUGAGUUGAGGGAACGAAAUUGCUCAGAUGCCUGAGGCGACAGACUGAGUUAACUUGAACAUUUUGAUUAUUCAAAUGAGAAUUAUCCAAAUGACCCAGAUUUCUUCCUUACUGCAUCAUGACAAAUUGCUAGACAAUGACACCUCUACUGUCUGCAUUUCUGUGGGCAGACACAUUUGGAUAGCCAUACAGGGGAUCUGGAUCACCCUUCCUAAUGUUUUCUUCAGUGUCAAGUCUAAACUACAACACAUUAAUAGGCUCCUUCAGCUAGGUGCAAGGUUGAAGCCUUGAUGAACUGUGAUCACAAAAAUCUGCACAUUGCCCCUUCCCCGGGGUGAGAAGCAGCUCUCUAUAUUCCGGCCCAGCACCAAUCAAAUUCUAGCCUGAAUCCUUGGAAUUGCCUGUAGGUUUAGCCAUGCAUAAAUAUAUUUUUCAUUUCCUUGGUUUAAAAUGGUUAUUGGUAUAAAAUGGCUGUGCAGUUCUGACCUGAGAUAGCUGCACACCACUGGGAAGGAAAGUGAUAUCUGCUGAGGUCCCUGGGCUUGUAAAUAGCUGUUGUUAUUAGGAAUUGUACAGAUCUUUCAUUCCCUCCUGCAGACAUCCAGUUUCAGCCUAACCCAAGUGUUACAAAAAUCCUACAGAUACAGGCAUUAUAGAAAAAGUAAAUUCAGAGCAGAUGUUCAGAAGUACCUCCAAUCAAGAUUCACAGAAUGUUGAUUAAAGCAGGAUAUGAUAAACACAGAAAAAGAAGUACAAAAGCACAGAUGAAGAUGAGAUGUGGAAAGUAACCUGCUGCAAGCUAAGGACGUAAGGCAUAGCUGGUUCCUUUUCUAAGCUCUCAUCCUUGCAAUGCGUACAGGAGGUGAGAAGUUUUGGCACUCCUCUAUACUUCAUAAUUUGAACUAAUGUAUUUGUUAUUUGUUUAAAUGAUGAAAUGUUAGCAACAGUGAUUCUCCACAGGUGUAAGGAAAAUACUUCUGUUCCUUCUUAUAGGUCAGUCUUCAUCUGAAAUCAUUGAGUACAGG
rnacentral:lncRNA from 1 species